rnacentral:sRNA from 1 species
GUUUUUUCAGGACAGACCUACAGCCAGACAGACAACAAAAAAACUAAUAGCGGCUUUUCCCCUUUUGGGGGCAACUAAUAAUAACUCAUAUGAACUAUAGUUGAGGGGAUGACACUUCACAGAUAGUCUCAAUUUGACAUAACGUUAGUUUUGUGUUAGUAUUUUAGAAUUCUACGAUCAGUUUACAAAUAAGAAAAAACAACAACAUAGUUAGGAGCUACAGCUAGAUCUAACAAUGGCAGAGGCGGCCCCAGAAAGUUAUUCAAAUGAUGUUUCCGACACUGGUCAUCAAGAUGAACAUUGGGAUGAUAACAACUUUGAUGGAGAGACUGAUGAGACAAUGUACAGUAACACACUAUAUGAAGAAACGGAUCUUCUACAAAUAGUCGACAAUAUGGAAACAAAAUUACAAAGUUUAAGUAAACGAGUAAUUUGUCUGCAACAAAAACUUACAGAUCAAAGGAGGCU